CUUGAUGCCCUGCGGGAGAUCAGCCCCCCCUGCCUUUGUGGGGGACACUGAGUUCCAAGGGGAGGGAAGAGAUGGCCCAGAGCAGGGAUCAGCCCUGACCCAUCAGUGUUCAGUGAGAAGCAGGAGACGGAAUUAAUUGCAAGGAACUGUCUUACUCAAUGGAGGGGCUGCUGAGCCAGUCUGCAAUGUACAGGGCAGGCCAGAACCGUGGGGAGUGGGCUGAAAUGGGCACCUGUGGCAAAAUUCCUUCUCCAUCAGGGAAGCCUCAGCUUUUAAGGCCUUUCAAGGGACUGAACCAGACCCACCCAGGUCCCAAGGACGCUCUUCCUGAAAGCUCCUGUGUAACCUUCCAGGCAAUGCCUCUGUUAGGGUUUGAUUGAGCGACAGAGAAGGUACCCUGGCCAGGUCGACCCUCACAGCUGCCCUGGUCAUUUGCUGCUGGAAGGGCCCUCCCCUUCGGUGGGGUUGCUCUGGGGAUCCUGGGCCAAGACAUGAGGGCAGCUGGUGGGUGGUGCCAGCUCAGCCCCUCCCACCUGGGGCAAAUUGCACCUGCCGGGUCCUGGCGCUGGGCUCACUGCACCUGCAGCAGCGGGGGGCCGGGAGAGCAGGAAACAGGAGACCAAGCAGAGAGAGCCACCUGCUGCCAGGAAAUGUUGUCACCCAGGCGCAGGGCUGGAGCAGGGCCUCCACGGUGAAGGGGCCGCCUCCACCUUAUUCUUCUCUUGCAUUUCUUUUAAAUAAUGAAGCUGCUGGAAGAACGGGGAGAGGAAAUUGGCAGGAACAGGAAGCUGGGCACCACGGUGCUGCCUGAAAACAGUCAUUGUCUUGGAAGUGCUGCUUCGCACAUGAAAAGCUGGAGGCUGUUGACGCUCUUCCCUUUUAGUAACAAGUGACUCCCUGUCAUUGUGGAACAGGCUAUCAGAACCCUUCAGGUAAUUGGAGGUGCAGCUGUGUCACUCUGUUCCCAAGUAAAGAGGCUGGAGGCUGGAGUGGGCAGGUGGGUGGUUGGGGACCGAGGGGCCCAAACCCUGUGCAGGUGUCCUGUAGUCUGAAGACCAGGUCCUGGGACAGGGUGUUCCCCGCCAUAGGCCCCUCCCCACCCCUCACUGCUCCUGCCCAUCCAGGUAUCACAGACCACUCAGUCUCACACUCUCACCGUAGCAUGGGGAAACUGAGGCACAGAAAGGGGUCGUGCUUGACUCAGGUUGGGGAGAAGCACCCAGGAAGCCCCUAGAGGUUCAUCCCGCAGACCCAGCUUGGUGGGAGGCCUCGGAGCCAGGAAACACAGGUCAGAUCCCAGGGCCGCCAGGAGGCUGGUGCCUUUCCAUAACCCGGACUUACGGAGCCAGUGUGCGGGGCAGAGGGCAGGUGCCAGGUCCCCUUCGUUGCCUUCAAGUUUCGACAGAGAUUAACGGCUCCCAGUCUCAGCAGGGUCACUGUUGAGGGCUGGCAGGUGCCUCUGGGGGUUGUGGGGAAGGCGAUGGGCUUGGGAGAGUGUGUGAGUCUGCGCCAGGUGAGGUGGCUGGAACAGAGGCCCUGCAAAUUCAGAGGGCGGUCUCCCCUCUGGGAAGCAUGUGGCUGGGCAGCUUGUGUUCCUUCCAGAACUUCCAGGUUCCUGGACACUCCAGGCUGCUACCCAGAGGGGCAAGAGACAGCGAGGGACACGCCAUGAGUGUAAGACUGAGCCCAGAAACUGCCACGGCCACCCAUGGCACCUCUGCCCAUGCCCAGUGACAAAAUCCUGGAUGCAUAUGGGAAGGAGGAAGGCUCUAGGUGGACAGCCAGUGGACAGAAGGCACACUGAAUAUCGUUUAGGGUGGUAUGUGUGAAAAGCAUGACAUCGGCCAAGAUUGCCUGGCCUCUGCCCAGGGCUCCUGGGACAUCACUACAUCCUGAACGCUGGGGCCUCAGGCCACACCGAUGGUCUCAUGUGACUUCAGGGGAGGCUUCGAGCCUAGACGGCUCAGCUGUGUGGGCACCAGCCAGGUCCACAUGACAGACCCCAAGGCAGGAGUUACCAUGGCUGUCAAUGCUCCGUACGCCUUGACCCACGUCGCUAAGGGAGGGGUGGGUCUCAUGCUAUCCAGGACCCCUGGGAGGACCACCAGGAGCUCUGUGUCUAACCCCUCCUGGGCUCUGUCCACGUGCCUCUUUCCAUUCUGGUUUUAUUUUUUAUAUUUUUGAGACAGGUCUCUCUGUCACUCAGACUGGAGUACAGGGCCUCAGUCACAGUUCACUGCAGUCUCGGCCUCACAGAGUCCUGCCAUCCACCCACACCAGCCUUGCAAGUAGCUGGGACCACAGCAUUUUAACACCGAAGAGAAUUUGGCUGAUUAGAAGCCAUGGAGCACCCCCUCGAUGCCAGCAGCACGAGUCCCACUGGCCUCCACCCUCUGGCCCUCUGUCUCCAUCUCUCUCGGCGGAGCUGGGGAGGAACUGGUGGGGGCAGGUGAGACAGGUCAGAGCUGUGUGACUCCUGUGGCUGCUGGGUGAGGAGGGAGUGAAGAGGGUGGAACAGGGGCCAAGGGUGCUUCAUAAGGAGAAGAGGAAGUUCCAUGGAGAGAGGCGCUGGGCAUGCGGAGCCCUUCCCUUUCUGCCUGGUUCUGGUGGGGCUGAGGUCCCAGAGUCGAGGGGGGAUCAGGAGUCCCAUCCCAGGUGAUGCUUGAGGGCACAGAGGGGCUCAGUGCAGCCUGGCAUGGGGUCCCCGCCCAGCCUCCUUCUGUGGAGUCUGCAAGGUCAAGAGGACAGUGAUCUCCUCCAGGUAUGGUGGCGUGCACCUGCAGUGCACACUGGCCCCACCCUGACUGCACAUCCUCCCCACCCUGCCUCUUCCACGGUCACCAUGGGGUUAAUAGUGCUCACUUAUUGCCACUGGCUGGGCACAGUGGCUCGUGCCUGCAAUCCCAGCACUUAGGGAGGCUGAGGUGGGAGGAUGGCUUGAAGCCAGGGGUUUGAGACCAGCCAGGGCAAGAUAGUGAGAUCCUGUCUCUACAAAAAAUAAAAAUUAAAAAAAGGCCAGGUGUGGUGGCUCAUGCCUGCAAUCUCAGAACUGUUUGAAGGUGAGGCAGAUGCCAGUGGACUGCGUGAGCUCAGGAGUUUGAGACCAGCCCGGGCAACAUGGCGAGAUCCCAUCUCUACAAAAAUAUAAAAUAAAGUAGCCAGGCAGCGCUGCGUCCUAUGAAACAUCCGCGGGGCACCUUCGUGUCUGUCUGCUGCUUGCCUGCUUCCUGGAGAUGUCCUUUCUGGAAUAAAAACAUCUUUCAAGGCUAAAAUUGACGACUGAGGAGCUCCUGGGCCCACGCCUCUCUGUGGCCGGCCACCACCUCUGGCCCUGCUCUGGUUCCUCCAGAAUCGCUUAAAAGCAAAGCUCCCAGGGAGAAUCAGGUGGGUCCCCCACCCUCAUCCCCAGCCUGGCCUGCCUAACACCCAUGACCUGGCCUUGGAUACUGCCUCCCACUACCACCCCUGUCCUCCCUCUGAUCCAGCUUCUUCCUUGAGCCCUGGGCCUCAGGCAGAGGCCCUGCCUCAGUGACCUCUGAGCUCAGCCUCCUCCUCAGCUCAGCCCUGGACAGAGCUGGGGCCGGUGGGUAUCCCCUACCCAGUACCUGGUCCCUUCCCAUGUCCAUAGCUGGGUCCUACUGACACCUGAGUCUGACCUGAGGGCAAGGGUUGGGCCAGGAGGGGCCACAGAGGCUGCUGGUGCUCAGGCAGGAAAAGCAGGGUCCAUCACCUUCUGUCUUUUCUCUGAGCUGCCACCCCUCACAGCCUCAGCCUGGGGCCAGUUACCGGGCGCUUCGCGAUGCUCCACAGGCCAUCUUGCUCCAAGGCUGUCUCCAGAGGCAGCAGCUGCUCAGCUCAGCGAGUCCACCAGGGGCGGGGGCGCCCUGUGGACGGUUCCCAGCUAUUCCUCCAGCUUGGAGGGAGGGUCAGGCCAGGAGGCUCUCAAGGCCGUCACUGGCACCACCUUUGCCUGCCUCUGGGUGACUCCCUGGAAGCCACAAAGCUGCUCCUUCUUCCAGGAAUGGCCACUGCUGUGAGCUCCUAUUCAUCCUCUGAAGGCUUUCCCUUCUCUCUCCUCCCUGUGCCCACCCCAGGGGUCAGUGCUGUGAGCUCCUGUUCAUCCUCCGAAGCCUUGCCCUUCUCUCUCCGCCCUGCGCCCACCCCGGGGAUCACUGCGGUGCCUCGGCCAUCCCCGACUCUCCCUGUCUGUCUUGGCGCUGCCUGAUGCUCCCUGAGGACAGCAGCCCCGAGUCAGCCCCACCCCACCCCUCCCUGGCAGUGACCCCCUUGUGCACAGCUGGUGAGGGGUGCCGCUUCAGGCUGCCCAUCCCCAAAGGCCCUGGUCCUGGGCUCCUGCUGACUUGUCUGGCAUCUUCCGUGCCAGGAGUCUGGGCUGUGAAGGAGGUAUUUUCAGCUGCUCUUCUCCCCGUAAUUAUCUUACCUCUGUUUUGCUGGGGUGCUCAGUGCAGCCCCGCUGAAAGAUGUCAGCAUCUCUCCACACUCAGGGCACCUGGGGACGAUGGGACCUCUGCCCUGGGAGUUGGAGUGGCGGAUGAGGGACAAGGGUGGUGGCCGCCCGGGAGCCUCCUUGGCUCACCUGCUCUCCCUGGAAAUGGGGGCUGGCCUCCUCACUCCUGGAUGAAGCAAGAGGCUUGUGGUCCACUCAGAAUCCCCACCUCCUGGAGCCUGUCCAUGGUAAGAAGGAAGCCUGAAGCCUGCAUGGAGCCCCUACCUGGGGUUUGCUCUUUCCAGCACCUGCUGAGCAGGGCUUCCCUAUUAAGAACAGCCGGGGUGUGGGUGGGGAUUCUAAUUCCUUUCCUGUGUGCAUGGAGGCACCUGUGGGAAGCGGGCCUGGGGUGAAGCCGGCUUCUCAGUCAGAGGAGGGAAGGGCCUGCCUGAGGCAGAUGGCAGAGCAAUGGCCGGGACCUGCCCAGGACUCUGGAGUUGCCAGACCAUAUGCCCCCUCAAGUCUGCCUGGGGGGCUGUCUGGUGGUGCCCAGUGACUCCCCUGCCUUUUUUGGCUCCCCUUCGCUCGGCCUUCAACACAACACACCCACAACAGCCCCUUUCGCCACCAUGGAGUGGAGAGUCACUCCAUGGCAGCCUGGAGUCACUCUUCCUCCAGCACCGGAGGCCCUAAGAAGGGACCCUGACACGCCCCGGCAGCUUUUCUCAGCACAGCUUCCUCUGACCAACACCUCCCCUGCAGCCCAAUCCUCUACCUUCUCCAGGUAGAGCCUGAGCUGCCUCCUCCAGGAAGCCCCCAUGAUGCUUGCUCCCAGGUGGUUCUUAAGGAAGUCAGCAGUCCUGGACACAUGACUAGAUUCACAGCUGGGCGUGGAUCCUCAGUCUCUUGAGACUGCAGGCACAGGAGGAGGCUGAGGCCCCACCUGACACACCCACACCCACCCCAGCCACCCCAGGACGGACCUAGUCUCCUGCUGUGCCUGUCCUCUGUGGUAGAGCCUCUGCCCUCAUCCACCUGCUGAUGCCCCCUCACCCCCUGUGGUGGGCAGAAUGGCCCUCCAAAAUGUCCUCAUGUUAGAUUCCCGGGCACGGGCAGCUCAGCUGCUCCUCAGCGGACCUCGACGUAAGUUGGUUAUCAUCUAUGUGGCCCAGCAUGACCGCAGGAUCCAAGGAGAGGGUGUGGCCAUGGCGCAGGCCAGGUGCUGCCAGGCGACCACAGCUGGACCUGCCAGGGCUCCAAGAGGACGCUCCCCUCGAACCUCCCAGGGGAACAUAGGCUGCAGACACGUUGAUUUUAGACCAUUGAGCCCCAGGGCUGGCCUCCUGACUCAGAGAGCCGUGAGACAGGAAAGGCGUGCUGUCUGAGCCACUGCAUCUGUGGCUGCAGCAGGGACCCAGCACAGCCUCCAUGAUGCCUGCUCUGUGCUGGACUUGCCAGUCCAGCGUCCCAGCAUGGGGCAGAUUCCCUCCUGGCUUCAGCCCUUCCCCUUCACCUGAUUGUGUGGCCCCUCUGGGCCUCAGUAUCCUCAUGGUAAAUCAGAGUGAUGAGGGUGUCUCCUGGGGCUGCUGUGGGGCUGACAUGUGGGUCAGAUAAGAUCCCAAAAGGUCAGCCCCGCCAGUAGGACAGCUGUGGAGAGGGGCAGGUGAGCACUGUGUGGUCAGGGCUGCCUGUCUGCUUCCCCCUUUAGAGCUGAGACCAGAGGGUCAGCUGGGGACCCAGUGUUGAGUCUGGCAGCCCUGCCCAGGCCCCUUGCAUGCUGGCCUUGGGAGCUACCCCUUGGCCUCUGUGUCUCAGGCCCUGUGUGGCAGCUGGCACUGGCCAGUGCUGUUUACGUGAGUGGUGAUGGCGGCUGCACCUGCUGGGGCCUCCUCAGUGGGGCUGGGGCCAUCCCUCCACUGCCCUUUCCCGGACUGCUCAUUUUGUGAGGUUGUUGUUCUUUAUUUGGUGUUUCUGCAUUUCUACUCUCCUCCCCUCCCCCACCAUCCAGGCGUUGCUAUGGGAACUGGGCUGAGGUCCCCGCAGCAUCCUUGAUAGAUGGGUUUCAGGCCUGGGCGGGUGAGUCGGGGGCUUGGGGCCUUGGGUCUUGAGGUUGGAAUCACGAGGUCCAGAGGAGGCAGAGCUGUCAGACACCCAUUCCUGCCCUGCAUACAGUGCUCCCACUCAGGGGACAGCCCUGUCGCUGCCACCCCUUGCUAUUACUGCUGUGGGCCCAGCUCCUGUUAUCUUUGGCCAGAUCUCCUCUGUCACAAUAGCUUGGGCUCUGUCCUCGCUGCCUGCUCUCUGACCUCCCCUUUGACCUCUGCAGGAGGGAGCCAGCCACACGGCCUCCCUGUGCUGGGCAUCUGCCUCCCCACAGAUGAUCAGAUUCGCAUGGUGACACUGGGGACUGGCUCCUGCAGAUGCUGGACACAGGUCCCAGCAGAGUCCUUGGCUUCCCUUGCUCUUACCUCGGUUUCCCCAUCCUGCAAUGGCAGCACUUGGGCCAUUGCCAAGUCACCAAAGCCACCUGCAGGUGGGCUCCAGGCCAUGCCUCGCCCUCAGACCACGCUCCAGCCCUGACAGCAUCCUGAUGGCGCCUGGCCAGAGGCUGGAAUAUGUCCUGCAUGGGGAAGAUUUUUGGAUAUAUUGG